AAGUCGUAACAAGGUUUCCGUAGGUGAACCUGCGGAAGGAUCAUUAACACGUAUCCAACGUUAAACAACCCUGUGAACUUUAAGUCCCCUCUUGCAGCCCAUGAGGAACAGCAAUCCCGGUAAAUCAUUGCCAAACAGUUUUGAUUCGGGACCUCUGUCCAAAAGGAGUUGCAAUCGAAGGGUGGAAGCAGUGGCAUGGCUUCCCCAAGCAGUUAGUGAAUGACAGUGUCACUGACUGUGUAAGGAUAACACCGACCGGCAGACAUGUCACAGGGUCACCACGCCCCUUAAUCACUCCACUUGAAAAUGCCCCGCCUAGUGGUAACGCGCUAGGUAAAAAAAACCGAACAACUGUUAACAAUGGAUAUCUUGGUUCUC
rnacentral:misc_RNA from 1 species